rnacentral:rRNA from 1 species
GACGAACGCUGGCGGCGUGCUUAACACAUGCAAGUCGAACGGAAAGGCCCUGCUUUUGUGGGGUGCUCGAGUGGCGAACGGGUGAGUAACACGUGAGUAACCUGCCCUUGACUUUGGGAUAACUUCAGGAAACUGGGGCUAAUACCGGAUAGGAGCUCCUGCUGCAUGGUGGGGGUUGGAAAGUUUCGGCGGUUGGGGAUGGACUCGCGGCUUAUCAGCUUGUUGGUGGGGUAGUGGCUUACCAAGGCUUUGAAGGGUAGCCGGCCUGAGAGGGUGACCGGCCACAUUGGGACUGAGAGACGGCCCAGACUCCUACGGGAGGCAGCAGUGGGGAAUAUUGCACAAUGGGCGGAAGCCUGAUGCAGCAACGCCGCGUGCGGGAUGACGGCCUUCGGGUUGUAAACCGCUUUCGCCUGUGACGAAGCGUGAGUGACGGUAAUGGGUAAAGAAGCACCGGCUAACUACGUG